UAGGCACUGAAUGCUGAACCGAACAAGUUCAAUUUUGAAGAAUUUAUGUAAUCAAUUUAUUUUCUAAAAAUUGGUUGAACUCCCUAGUAAAUAUAUUUUCUUACUAAUUUAAAUUCUAGGAGUGACUGAAAUAUGUAUACCGUUGGUGGAAAAGCUAGCAACUUAAAUGUCUCGUUAUGUUCACGUACUAAUCCAUCCAUCGAUGGAGAAAAUAUUUGUCAUUCACCAUGGAGUGUAGCAGUCAAACCUGAUCACACUUCUUCUAGCCAAACAACCACUAUACGAUGUAUCUUGGACAGAGCUAAUAGUAGUAGGAGCUGGCAAACAGGGGAGCAGCCAGCGAUGCAGACAUGGGCACGUCAUGCUCUUGUAGAAGUCCGAAGAUAGGGAAAAGGGACUGAAGCACUUAUCCGAUGUAGCCUUCCCGCAGGCCUCUUCCUCUCGUUCUGCAGCGAUUCUCCACCAAAUCGAAGCCUGUGACAUGCCAUCCAGCACCAUAUUCAAAGGAGGAGGAGAGGGACACUGCCUGAUGGCGGACAUCUGAUCGGCGGCGGCAAUCGGCAAGCAACAAGAGGUCGCGGUGGACACCCUGAAUACUAGGGGGCCUUGCCGGGCGUUCGUCUUUGGAGCUCGCCGAGCCUGUCGGCAACUGUUGCCCACACUGGCGCUGGUGAGGAAAAUCAUCUGGAGCCCGGGCAACCAAGAUCCUUUCCCAGGAAGAUUACAAUCCCGAACCAGUCAGAUUGUGAGCUGGUGGAUGCGGGAGUAGAAUAUUCGGACCUCCAGGAGGAGAAGACCGAGGAGCAGGCAACCGCCGAAGGAUGAGUCAACUACUACAUGGACUUCAAUGGCAACCUAGUGCUGAUCGGUAGAGUUGGUAGUAUGGGUUGCGGCAAGAUAGUAGUUGAGAGUGUUGUUCAGUAUUAACUCGGUUAUAAUUUCCUUGUUCUUUUGGAGUUGUUGUUGUACUUGGUAGCAGAACCUUGUAAUAUGCUUCAGUUUGGAUCUUCUUCAAAACUUGUAAUAUAAUUUCGUACAGUGGACGCUCCAAUGCUUAUGUUGUGCUACUCUGAUCGACAUAUUGUUCGAGAUACUUCA